UGCACAUUCUGAGCAGACUCAACACCAGGAGCAGUCAUUGCCAAGGAAGCAUCUUUUACUAACAGCCUCUAGAACUUGCCUGAACAGGGAUCUCUUGAAUCUCAGAUUUUCCCAUUUAAAAGGACUCAGCAUACUUGGUCACAUUCUUUCCUGCUCCUCAGGGCAGAUCGUCCAGAAUACAGCUCAGCUCGCUCACUGCCUAGGCAUGUUCUCAGCGACCCUUCUGCUGCUUGGGCUGCUCUUCACAGUGAGAGGAACCAGAGCCCAGUCAGUGAGCCAGCCUGAUGGUCACAUCACUGUCUCUGAAGGAACCUCUCUGGAGCUGAGGUGCAACUAUACCUCUACCUAUGGUGGAUCUGUUUCUCUCUUCUGGUACGUCCAAUACCCCAGUCAAAACCUCCAGCUUAUUCUCAAGAACUUAGCAGGGAAAACUCUGGUUAAUGGCAUCAAAGAUUUCCAGGCUGAAUUUAAGAAAAGUGAAAGCACCUUCCACCUGAGGAAAUCAUCAGCCCAUUGGAGCGACUCGGGUGUCUACUUCUGUGCUGUGAGUGACACAGUGCCUGAGACUGCAUGGGGAGCUGAACACAAACCUCCUGAGACACUGGAGUUUUCAGACACUCAAGGACACAGCCUGACCAGUUUUUAG